CCCUGGUUAGCACAGUUGGUAGAGCGCUCCACCUGUAAUGGAGAGGUCCCGGGUUCGAUACCCGUAUCAGGCG
rnacentral:tRNA from 1 species